UGGAAGAACGUUUCCGAUCUGCUGAUAAGUCUCUGGCUGGGACAUUAAUGGCUAAACUAACCACCAUGAAAUUUGAUGGUACUUGUGGGAUGCAUGAGCAUAUCCUUGAAAUGACAAAUAUAGCAGCUAAGCUGAAGGCUCUUGGGAUGGAUGUGAAUGAAUCCUUUUUGGUUCAAUUUAUUUUGAACUCCUUGCCUCCUCAAUUUGGAUCAUUUCAAAUUCACUAUAACACUAUUAAGGAUAAGUGGAAUGUGAAUGAAUUGACCAGUAUGCUUGUUCAAGAGGAGACAAGACUUAAGCAACAAGGAUAUCAUUCUGUCAAUCUUGUAAGUCAUGGAGCCAAGAAGAAAUGGAAGAAGCCAAGAAAGGGCAUGAAGAGUGGACCAUCCAAGGGUAAAGAGCCUCAUCAUGAUACCGAGGUUCAUAAGAAGAAAUAAAACAAAGAUAGAUGCCAUUUCUGCAAAAAAUUGGGACACUAUCAGAAGGACUGCCAUAAACGCAAGGCAUGGUUUGAAAAGAAAGGGAUUCCUUACAACCCAGAUGCAAGAUCCAAAUGAAAGUUUUAUCGUUUUGGGGAAUGGGGUUAGAGUUCCUGUAACAGCUGUUGGAACCUAUCGUUUGCUUUUAAAUACUGGUUGUCAUUUAGAUUUGCUUCAGACUCUUUAUGUUCCUUCUAUUUCUAGAAAUUUAAUUUCUGUUUCUAAACUUGAUGUUGAAGGAUAUUUCUUUAAAAUUGG